CCUACGGGAGGCAGCAGUGAGGAAUAUUGGUCAAUGGGCGAGAGCCUGAACCAGCCAAGUAGCGUGAAGGAUGACUGCCCUCCGGGUUGUAAACUUCUUUUAUAAAGGAGUAAAGUGAGGCACGUGUGCCUUUUUGUAUGUACUUUAUGAAUAAGGAUCGGCUAACUCCGUGCCAGCAGCCGCGGUAAUACGGAGGAUCCGAGCGUUAUCCGGAUUUAUUGGGUUUAACGGGAGCGUAGAUGGGGUGUUAAGUCAGUUGUGAAAGUUUGGGGCUCAACCGUAAAAUUGCAAUUGAUACUGGCAGUCUUGAGUACAGUUGAGGUAGGCGGAAUUCGUGGUGUAGCGGUGAAAUGCGUAGAUAUCACGAAGAACUCCGAUUGCGAAGGCAGCUUACUAAACUGCCACUGACACUGAGGCUCGAAAGUGUGGGUAGCAAACAGGAUUAGAUACCCCUGUAGUC
rnacentral:rRNA from 1 species